GAUGAACGCUGGCGGCGUGCCUAACACAUGCAAGUCGAGCGAACAGACGCUGAUCUCGCUCUUCUCGCGUUGGCGACGGGCGGGUGAGUAACACGUGGAUAACCUACCUCUUAGACUUGGAUAACUUCGAGUGACCGUAGCUAAUACCAGAUAAUAUAUUUAACCUCAUGGUUCGAUAGUUAUUUCGGGGUUUGCUGACACUUCUACCUGUAUGCGCGUCGGAUUAGCUAGUUGGUAAGGUAACGGCUUACCAAGGCGGCGAUGCGUUGCCGACCUGAGAGGGUGAUCGCCGACACUGGAAGUGAGACACGGUCCUGAGUCCUACGGGAGGCAGAAGUAGGGAAUGUUCCGAAAAGGGCGGAAGCCUGACGGAGCAACGCCGCGUGAGUGAAGAAGGUCUUCGGAUCGUAAAACUCUGUUAGGAGGGAAGAACAAAUGUGUAAGGAACUAUGCACGUUUUGACGGUACCUAAUCAGGAAGCAACGGCUAACUACGUG
rnacentral:rRNA from 1 species